CUUCUUUCAGAAUAAAAACUUUAUUUAUAAUUGUAAAAGAAAACUUUUUAUUUUUCCUACAGAUUUACAGCUGAGCUCAGCGAAUGCCCAGAGAAGCUCACUGCAGCAAGAAGUGACUGUCCUCAGUAAGUGUGAGAAAGUCAGGAUCCUCUGUUGCUUUAAAUCAAAUCAAAUCAAAUAAAACGUUAUUUAUAUACCAUUUUUCUUAUGAAAGUGUAGAGGAGGAUUAAACAAAUUAAUCCCAUAAAUGAUCAAUAUUAUUAUUAAUAUUGAUAUUACAAAGUUACUAAAAGGAAUAUGUUUGAAUAAGUCUAGAAGAUGACACAGAUUUAACCAGAAGGAAAUGGGUUAAGUGUAAAUAACAAGGUUAUUGUUGUUUAUUGAAUGAUGUUGAUUAUGGGUUUACUGUAAAUAACAAUGUUAUUGUUGUUUAUUGAUUUGUUUUGGAUUAUGUAACCUCAUCAGCGUCAGUUCACAGGACUAUAUCUUAUUUUGAAGAAAUGCGGAGUGUUCUGUGGAGUGUUCUUUGGUUUUGAUUGGACUAAGCUGAUUGGCUGAGGAGAGGAUCGAAGAAAAAAGAGAGAAAAAAGAAAAAAGGUCUGGACGUGGAAGCACGCGGGGAGGUGGAGAAGAAGACGGGAAAAAAGAAACUUUCUGCAGGCCAAAGUCAGUAGGAAAACUUGAGAGUGGUUUCCCGUGACAGAAAAGGUGACGGAAAGUUUCCCGUUUUGGAGUUUCUCACUUGAGCGUGAACCGGAGUCCACGGAGCGGAGCUGCAGCGCUGAGGACGUUGGAUUUUCCCCGCGACGGACGACAGGUGCUGUGGAAGGGCGGAGCAACGGCUAAAGCUGCACGGAGAACGCAGGAAGGCUUUGCACGGAAGGCUAAGGAAGUCGGUGAUUUUUUUUUCAGGCCUGCAACAAGGUUUUUUCCCCCGGGGGUAAUAACUGACUGUGUGAAUGAGUGACUUAGCUCAGCAAAUGCUCAGAGAAGCUCACUGCAGCAACAAGUGACUGACCUCAGUUCCCAGUUGACUUCUGUGACUAAACAGAGAGACGCAUUACAGACUGGGCCUCAAAAUGAGAGAUGGCAAUCUUUCAAUGGACACCUUUUAUUACCUCUCAACAACCACUGCAGACUGGCAGACCAGUAGAGACGACUGUUUGUCAAAGGAGCAGACCUGGUGGUCAUCAAUGACAAUGAAGAAAACAAUUUUGCCAGAGGAUUUAACCGCCAAGCCUGGAUGGGGCUGAAGAAAUCAGGAUCCACCUGGACAUGGGUGGCUGGAAGCAUCAUAUCACCUAAUGUCAGCUAUUGGGGUCCAGGAGAACCUAACAAUCUAUUAAACCUGGAAGAUCGAGCAGAAAUAGGGUUCUUUGCUAACAGUGUCAACAGCUGGAAUGAUACACCAGGGACCACUAUUAACUACUGGAUCUGUGAAAAGAAAGCUGUUUAGUGGAAACACUGGGAACUUUCUGAUCAUUGAAUAACAUUAGCUUGAUGUUUGCUGAGGUUAAAACCUUGAUGGCGAUUCAUCUGCUGUCCUUUCUGCUUCACUUUUCAGACAUAAUGAAAACAUAUUAAUCUGUGGGUAUAAUGGGGUUGAUUAAGGAAUUUAAUCUUUUACUGCUGCUGCAUACUUUUCUGUGUCUCAAUAAAGCAUCGCAAAAUGAA